rnacentral:rRNA from 1 species
CACGUAGGGCGCAAGCGUUGUCCGGAAUUAUUGGGCGUAAAGAGCUCGUAGGCGGUCUGUUGCGUCCGCUGUGAAAACUCGGGGCUUAACCCCGAGCCUGCAGUGGAUACGGGCAGACUAGAGGUAGGUAGGGGAGAAUGGAAUUCCCGGUGUAGCGGUGAAAUGCGUAGAUAUCGAGAGGAACACCUGCGGCGAAGGCGGGUUGCUGGGCUGACACUGACGCUGAUGCGCGAAAGCCAGGGGAGCGAACGGG